AAAUUCAAGGUAGAUAAUAUAUGUAUGCAUUAUUUGUGCAUUAUCUCAAAGACUAUGCUACCCCAUCUGAGUUUGAACUUAGUCUGUCUGAAUGUCUCCUAUCUUCGCCAAUAAUGAUUGGAAUGCCAUCUUUCCCCUCGUUGGCAAACCUUGCAACUGAUGUAAGAAAUUACUUAUGAUGUUGUUUAUGAUGUUGUUUGAUUUUGGUUAUAGAGAAGAAUUUGAUGUUUUGAUUUUGGUUAUAGCAUGAUAUUGUUGUUUGACUUUAGCCUCUUUUCUUUGCAGGUUACUUACUCACCUACAUCUGAAGAACUAACGCACACCUUUCCUAUGAACCAUUCGAUGUUUGCAUAUGCACUUGAUGAAGAUCCAGAUACUAAAGUUAGAUUUCUUAAAGUGUAAGAAUCUUACGGGCUGAAUAGAGGAGCGGAUGGUCAUAUUAAAAUUGCAGUGGUACCGUGAGGUGAUUAUCAUCUUUGUCGAGAUGGUGGACCUUCAAAGAUUUCUGUGAACCCAUUACCACGGAAAGCAGGACCUAAAGUCAUAAAACAUUUUGAUUUUUGUGAGAGAUAUCUGUAUGGAUGUAAUGCACAUUUUGAUUUUUGGUCGAAAAAUUUAGUACUGAACUAAAAUUGAACUAAAAUUUAAAGGCACAAUCAUAGUAAUCAAUCUAGUACCUAAUCAUGUUCGUGUGUG
rnacentral:lncRNA from 1 species